GGGGCAACUUAGUUGAUUCACAACACUACAAAACGGGUUGUGCGUGUGUUUCACGCUGGAUGUACGCUUUCGUGCUGAGCUGCAGGUGCAGAGGAGAAGUAGAAGAACACAAGAGGGUGACACCAUUUGUUAAGGGGAUCUGCCAAAAUCUCUGGCUUCACCCAAAGCAGGGCUUUAACUAGUUUCUUCUCAGACAGUUUUCUGCCCAAGCAUAUGCUUUUUUAUGGCUUUAGCCCAACCUCAGGAAUCCGACCAAGGAGCAUCGACCUCAGGUUUUACCCCAGUCUGGUAGGGCUUUAGCAGGCAAUAGGUAAAACUCAGGUUUCUGCACAUCUUCAGCCAACUGACCAAUGAGGAACUCAGACUUCUGCCCAUGCCUCUGCUAUCAAUUAGCAGUUUGAGCAUUCUACCAACCAAGAGCUUCUGUCCAACCCUGGACUUCAGCCCCCCGUCAGGCAUCUGCCCAACCUCAAGCAUUUGCCUAAUCAUGGACUUCAUCCCAAAACAACUAGUCAUCCAGAGGCCCAGCAUAGGACUUUAGCAAGCAGGGACAUUUAUCCCACUAUAGAUCCUUGUCCACCUGGAUGUUUUUGAACAACAAAGGACCUCUGUUCAAACAGGGACUUCAGCAAAUCAGCAGACUUUUGGGACAAGCUUCUGCUUGACCAGCUGGAGGCUUCUGCACAACCGCUAGUUUUCCAUACUUGAGGUUUUUGACAUUGGGUGUCAGACGUACCCUACUUCCACCUGCAGCUAGCUCUAAUCUGCUCACAUUUAAAACAACAUGAAAUUUGUGAAAAAACAUUAUUUCACAUGUGAGUUUUUUCUGUAAGAGCUUUGUCACACUAACAAUCAACAUCAAUCAUACCACACUAAUUACAUUUUCCAUUAAUUUAUUUCCAUCCAAAUCCAUUAGUGAAGCUAAAACUAGUGGUAAUCACACAAAUCUCCUACAACCAACAGCACAAUCAGCAGUUUGGUUUCCAGCUGUACUAUAUUUACUAUAUUUCUGAGCUUCUUUAUGAUUCUGAAGGCAUUCUGUUGACCUGGAAGCUAACAACAAACACCACUUAAACACCUAAGUUUGCUUGAUUAGCUACAAAGGUGGAAAACUUAGCCAUAAUACUCAUCUAUUACUCAUCUGAGUCUAGAAAGCAAUUGUGUCAGGAAUGAUGAUGGAUGUUUAAGAAAGUGUGAGUAUGUGUUAGCUGUUGUCUCCACAAGACUUAAACCAGGUCAGGUCACAAGAUCUCAGAGCCUGUAAGAUAAAUAGAGAUAAUUAUUAGACAUCCAUACGAACUAUAAUCAUUUAUUAACUCAGCACUGCUAUAUUCCAGAUUGUGAUCAGUCAGAAGGUGUUGAUUAAUUUUCUAUAAUAGCUGCUGUAAAAGUAUUAAUAUGCUUGCUCUGUUACAUGUGAUGACGGGCCAUUCAAUGCCCAUCAGCAGAUAGUGUCACCCCAAUGAAUUGAACUGAUUCGUCAAUUCACUGUUCACGUUUAACCACAUAGAACCUAAACCCUUAUAUCAUUCCUUCUCCAUGCCACCCCAACCACCACUCAUGAAGACAUGACUUGUGUGUUGGAUUGUUUUAGGACUUAAUCAACUAGGAACACAGUGGCACGAGCCUACAGGGUCACAACAUUAAAGUUGUUUCCACAUCACACCACAGUGAUGCUUAUUAUCAUGAAUCAGUUAUAUGUUGUUUAGGAAAUAUUUUGUAGCUGUUAAUGUCAGUAACUCACUCCAACUUCUCCAGUGUGUACUUUUCAUUCUCCUUUAUAUCAGUUAGCAGUUUAACUCCCUGGUCUCCUAAAUCAUUACAGCUCAGAUCGAGCUCUCUCAGGGGUGAUUUUGAGCUCAGAGCUGCAGCAAGAGCGACACAGCCGUCCAUUGUAAUGUUACAGUCAUGUAACCUGUAGAAGAAAAAGUCCAAGUUAAUAAAGUCAUGUGUUUGUUGUAGUAUUUAGGUCUAAAACACUGUGGAAGAAUUUUUUAAAAAUUCUUAAUAACUUUCCACACCAAUGUAAAACACAAAUAAAACUCACUUUAAUAUCUCAA